UCAGAACGAACGCUGGCGGCAGGCCUAACACAUGCAAGUCGAACGCUGUAGCAAUACAGAGUGGCAGACGGGUGAGUAACGCGUGGGAACCUUCCCAAUGGUGCGGAAUAGCCCAGGGAAACUUGGGGUAAUACCGCAUAAGCCCUUAGGGGGAAAGAUUUAUCGCCAUUGGAUGGGCCCGCGUCGGAUUAGCUAGUUGGUGAGGUAAUGGCUCACCAAGGCAACGAUCCGUAGCUGGUUUGAGAGAAUGACCAGCCACACUGGGACUGAGACACGGCCCAGACUCCUACGGGAGGCAGCAGUGGGGAAUCUUGGACAAUGGGCGCAAGCCUGAUCCAGCCAUGCCGCGUGAGUGACGAAGGCCUUAGGGUUGUAAAGCUCUUUUGCCGGGGACGAUAAUGACGGUACCCGGAGAAUAAGUCCCGGCUAACUUCGUGCCAGCAGCCGCGGUAAUACGAAGGGGACUAGCGUUGUUCGGAAUUACUGGGCGUAAAGCGCACGUAGGCGGAUUUGUAAGUCAGGGGUGAAAUCCCGGGGCUCAACCUCGGAACUGCCUUUGAUACUGCAAAUCUCGAGUCCGAUAGAGGUGGGUGGAAUUCCUAGUGUAGAGGUGAAAUUCGUAGAUAUUAGGAAGAACACCGGUGGCGAAGGCGGCCCACUGGAUCGGUACUGAC
rnacentral:rRNA from 1 species